rnacentral:rRNA from 1 species
GAUGAACGCUGGCGGCGUGCCUAAUACAUGCAAGUCGAGCGAACAGACGAGGAGCUUGCUCCUCUGACGUUAGCGGCGGACGGGUGAGUAACACGUGGAUAACCUACCUAUAAGACUGGGAUAACUUCGGGAAACCGGAGCUAAUACCGGAUAAUCUAUUGAACCGCAUGGUUCAAUAGUGAAAGACGGUUUUGCUUUCACUUAUAGAUGGAUCCGCGCCGCAUUAGCUAGUUGGUAAGGUAACGGCUUACCAAGGCGACGAUGCGUAGCCGACCUGAGAGGGUGAUCGGCCACACUGGAACUGAGACACGGUCCAGACUCCUACGGGAGGCAGCAGUAGGGAAUCUGCCGCAAUGGGCGAAAGCCUGACGGAGCAACGCCGCGUGAGUGAUGAAGGUCUUCGGAUCGUAAAACUCUGUUAUUAGGGAAGAACAAAUGUGUAAGUAACUAUGCACGUCUUGACGGUACCUAAUCAGAAAGCCACGGCUAACUACGUG